UACGUAGGGGGCAAGCGUUGUCCGGAAUUAUUGGGCGUAAAGAGCGUGUAGGCGGUCCGGUAAGUCAGCUGUGAAAGUCAAGGGCUCAACCCUUGAAAGCCGGUUGAUACUGUCGGGCUAGAGUCCGGAAGAGGCGAGUGGAAUUCCCGGUGUAGCGGUGAAAUGCGCAGAUAUCGGGAGGAACACCAAUGGCGAAGGCAGCUCUCUGGGACGGUACUGACGCUGAGGUGCGAAAGCGUGGGGAGCAAACAGG
rnacentral:rRNA from 1 species